ensembl:lncRNA
UGACUGAGGAUCUUAUUUCCAGUCUGACAAGUAAGGAAAAGGAUCAGGCAGCUUCUGCAGCUCCAGCUCAAAGAACCACAAGUCAAGAUAAACUCUUCACUAGUGCCCAAUUCAACUCAAGAAACCAGGAACCCACGAAGAAUUAUUUAAACACUUGAACAAAGGCUUUGUUUUCAUUUGGACUUGCCCUGUUUACCAGUUUAUAAGUGCACUAUUCUCUAUAGAAUGCAGGCUAUACAAGUUUCCAUAUCAACAGUCAUUCAGAAUCUAAUACUUGGAAUGGAAAGGUGUGCACAGUU